GGGGGCGUAGCUCAGUUUUGGUAGAGCGCUUCCAUGGCAUGGAAGAGGUCGUCGGUUCGAGUCCGGUCGCCUCCA
rfam:Leptolyngbya valderiana BDT 20041 contig00081, whole genome shotgun sequence.